UACGGGGGGGGCAAGCGUUGUUCGGAAUUACUGGGCGUAAAGGGCUCGUAGGUGGCCAACUAAGUCAGACGUGAAAUCCCUCAGCUUAACUGGGGAACUGCGUCUGAUACUGGAUGGCUUGAGUUUGGGAGAGGGAUGCGGAAUUCCAGGUGUAGCGGUGAAAUGCGUAGAGAUCGGGAGGAACACCUGUGGCGAAGGCGGCCUGCUGGGCAGUAGCUGACGCUGAUGCGCGACAGCGUGGGGAGCAAACAGG
rnacentral:rRNA from 1 species